UUCCUAAAGAAAUUAUUAUAGGUAUAGCCUGCUCAAUGUUAAUAUUAAAAGCCGCAGAAAAUUUACUGUGCUAAGGUAGCAUAAUCAUUAGUCUUUUAAUUUAGGACUAGAAUGAAAGGCCUAACAUUUCAAUUACUUUUUUAAUUUUAUUAAUACUUAAAUUAUUCUAAAUAUAAAAAAAUAUUUAAAAAUUAAUAAGACGAUAAGACCCUAUUAAACUUCACUUUAGUUUAGCUGGGGUAGCAUUAUAAUAAUAACUUUAAUUAUAAAAUUUAAAUAAAUAACAAAUUUUUUUAAUAAACAAGUUACUAUAGGGAUAACAGCGUUAUCUUAUUUUUAAGUUCUUAUUUUAAAUAAAGAUUGCGACCUCGAUGUUGAAUAAUUUUUCUUAUAAAUGUACACGUUUAUAAAGUAAGUCUGUUCGACUUUUAAAAAAUUACA
rnacentral:rRNA from 1 species